AGGGCUUGUGGAAAUGAACGAGACUUGUAUCUGCAGAGGAGCUGGGAGGCGUGCAUCUCAAAUAUUUAUCUUACAAAUAUUUUCCUCGAUGGCCGGAAUUAUGCAGCAGCUUUCAAACAGGACCAGGUUCACUCACAAUGCAGCUGACAGAUACACAGAAGGCCUUGUCUUCUUCUAUGGCAGGACCCAAGUGGCAUAAAACAUGCAUUAAGACAGAUGGAGAUGUGCAGAAGACUGAACCGGAUGCAAACUGUCUCAGAAGGAAGGGACCAGAUGUAUUGCUUGGGAAACAACUUCUGCCAGUAAUUCACUGUGUACUCCUUGAUGUCAACCAGCCUCCAAAAAAGAAUGAUCACCUAGCCAGCCGAGUCAAGACAAAUGAGGCUGCUCAGAAGAUUGCACACAUGUUUAUGUAGGGAAUUGGGGAAUAAGAACUAUGUGGGAGAUGGAUUAUAAAAACUUGUAGAACAGCAAUAUUACUUCCUUGGCAGGUUCAUUUCCACCAUCAAAUAAAUACACAGUCUGCCGGAAUGUUUACCCCGGG
rnacentral:lncRNA from 1 species